rnacentral:rRNA from 1 species
CAUGCAAGUCGAGCGGCAGCGCGGGGCAACCUGGCGGCGAGCGGCGAACGGGUGAGUAAUACAUCGGAACGUGCCCAGACGUGGGGGAUAACUACUCGAAAGAGUGGCUAAUACCGCAUACGAUCUACGGAUGAAAGCGGGGGAUCGCAAGACCUCGCGCGUCUGGAGCGGCUGAUGGCAGAUUAGGUAGUUGGUGGGAUAAAAGCCUACCAAGCCAACGAUCUGUAGCUGGUCUGAGAGGAUGAUCAGCCACACUGGGACUGAGACACGGCCCAGACUCCUACGGGAGGCAGCAGUGGGGAAUUUUGGACAAUGGGCGAAAGCCUGAUCCAGCCAUUCCGCGUGCAGGAUGAAGGCCCUCGGGUUGUAAACUGCUUUUGUACAGAACGAAAAAGCUCUGGCUAAUACCUGGAGUCCAUGACGGUACUGUAAGAAUAAGCACCGGCUAACUACGUGCCAGCAGCCGCGGUAAUACGUAGGGUGCAAGCG